GAGUCAUUACCAAAGCUGGUAGGUUGCAGUCCCUCCUUUGCUGUGCGCAUGACCAUACAAAAUUUCCGCUAGGUUUUCUAUUGCUGACUUUCUAACCAUCAACCUAUUGGGAACAAUU
ensembl:snoRNA